rnacentral:tRNA from 1 species
GCCUGACUGGCUCAGUUGGUAGAGCAUGCAACUCUUGAUCUCAGGGUUGUGAGUUCAAGCCCUACAUUGGGCA